AGAUUAUAACUUUAGUAUCACUGAUAGUCUAUAGAUAAGACAUAAAUUCUGUGAUACUAUGUUCAAUACGAAUUUAAUUUAAUUUAAUUGUUUAAUACGUUAUUUAAAAAUUUUGAAUUGUAUACCUAUUGGCUAUUACUCAAAGUUGAGUUUGCAAAUUUUGCGCUAUUCACUUAUGUAAACUAAAGACUUUUACCAUGGUACAAAAAUGUUGCGUUUGCAAAGCGCAACGAUCAAGUGAGAACGAUAUCACAUUACACAGUUUUCCAAAAGACAAAAUAGUUCUUCACAAAUGGAUUUUGAACCUUAAUAAGAACUAUAUCUUUACACCAACUGUACAUACAAGAAUUUGUAAUAAGCAUUUUGAUGAAAAUGAUUUCAUUAAUACCGACAAACUAAGACGUCUAAAACCAGAUGCUAUACCAACCAAAAUUAUGGGUGUUCGUCGUUCGUUGUUGUCAGAUUUCCAAAGUUCUUCAAGUGAAUAUGUGUGUGAUCCAUCUACCUCAAAUGAGCAAUUAUUAGAUAUGCCAAAUGAUAUCUGUGAGACUGUUUUAGUUCAGACAACGAUUAAAAAUACAGAAAUUCUAGAUGUCCAUAGUUCUUCACGUGAAUAUUUAUGUGAUUCAUCUAACUCAAAUGAGAAAUCAUCAGAUAUGUCAAAUAAUAUCCAUGAUAAUAAUGCAGGCAAAAAUAUAACUGAUACCAAAAAACGUAAGUAUUAUCGUUAUAUUGGAGAUUUCUCGGAAGACGACUUGGAAACCCCAAGGAGAAGGAAACUGUUUUGGAAGACACAUACUAAAUUGCUGGAUGAAACAAAACAGAAAAUCAGAUGUCUUGAACAAAAAAAUCGAAGAUUGGAGUCAAAAAUCACUUGUUUAAAUUCAUUAGUAGAUGAACUUAAACAAAAAUAUCAAUUAAAUGCUAGUUAUUCUGAUAUUUUAAGGAAACCAUUGCACUGAUAGUACUACUACUACGACUGUGUUAUAUACAUAAUAUAAACAGUUUUUUCCUAAUAUUGGCACUGAAGAGGAAAAACAACUACUUAUGAGGCAACUACAUAUGUCAAGUGGGAAAUCUAUCAGUCCAAUUCUUAGAAAGUUUGCGAUGACGUUACAUUUUUAUUCGCCUUCUGCAUACGCCUAU
rnacentral:misc_RNA from 1 species